UACAGAGGGUGCGAGCGUUUAAUCGGAAUUACUGGGCGUAAAGGGCGCGUAGGCGGCCAGCACAAGUCAGUUGUGAAAUCUCCGAGCUUAACUCGGAACGGUCAACUGAUACUGUGCGGCUAGAGUGCAGAAGGGGCAACUGGAAUUCUUGGUGUAGCGGUGAAAUGCGUAGAUAUCAAGAGGAACACCUGCGGCGAAGGCGGGUUGCUGGGCUGACACUGACGCUGAGGCGCGAAAGCUAGGGGAGCGAACGGG
rnacentral:rRNA from 1 species